rnacentral:rRNA from 1 species
GACGAACGCUGGCGGCGUGCUUAACACAUGCAAGUCGAACGGAAAGGCCCUGCUUUUGUGGUGUGCUCGAGUGUCGAACGGGUGAGUAACACGUGAGUAACCUCCCCUUGACUUUGGGAUAACUUCAUUAAACUGGGGCUAAUACCGGAUAUGAGCUCCUGCGGCAUGGUGGGUGUUGGAAAGUUUCGGCGUUUGGGGAUGGAAUCGAGGCUUUUCAGCUUGUUGGUGGGGUAGUGGCUUACCAAGGCUUUGACGGGUGGCCGGCCUGAGAGGGUGACCGGCCCCAUUGGGACUCGGAAGGGGGCAAGACUCCUACGGGAGGAAGCAGUGGGGCAUAUUGCACACUGGGCGGAAGCCUGAAGCAGGAACGCCGCGUGCGGGAUCACGGUCUUCGGUUUGUAACCCGUGUUCGCCUGGGACGAAGAGUGAGUGACGGUAACGGGUAAAGAAGCACCGGCUAACUACGUG